rnacentral:rRNA from 1 species
AAACAGUUGCAAAUCCGUAAGGUGGAGCUAAUCUGUAAAGUUGGUCUCAGUUCGGAUUGAGGGCUGCAAUUCGCCCUCAUGAAGUCGGAAUCACUAGUAAUCGCGAAUCAGCCAUGUCGCGGUGAAUACGUUCUCGGGUCUUGUACACACCGCCCGUCAAACUAUGAGAGCUGGUAAUAUCUAAAACCGUGUUGCUAACCGCAAGGAAGCGCAUGUCUAGGGUAGGGCCGGUGAUUGGAGUUAAGUCGUAACAAGGUACCCCUACGAGAACGUGGGGGUGGAUUACCUCCUUUCUAUGGAG